rnacentral:rRNA from 1 species
GAUGAACGCUGGCGGCGUGCUUAACACAUGCAAGUCGAACGGAGAUACAUUUGUAGCAAUAUAAAUGUAUCUUAGUGGCGGACGGGUGAGUAACGCGUGAGGAACCUGCCUUGGAGAGGGGAAUAACACAUUGAAAAGUGUGCUAAUACCGCAUGAUGCAUUGAGACCACAUGGUUUUGAUGCCAAAGAUUUAUCGCUCUGAGAUGGCCUCGCGUCUGAUUAGCUAGUUGGUGAGGUAACGGCCCACCAAGGCUUCGAUCAGUAGCCGGACUGAGAGGUUGACCGGCCACAUUGGGACUGAGAUACGGCCCAGACUCCUACGGGAGGCAGCAGUGGGGAAUAUUGGGCAAUGGGCGAAAGCCUGACCCAGCAACGCCGCGUGAAGGAAGAAGGCUUUCGGGUUGUAAACUUCUUUUAUUCGGGACGAAACAAAUGACGGUACCGAAUGAAUAAGCCACGGCUAACUACGUG